UGCCCAGCAACUCCUAUCCCUACCUCUUUGCGGUACCUGUUGGAAACUACGAGCAACCUUUUAGGGAAGAUCGGGUAACCAACCCCGGUGGGAACUUUGGUCGUAGGCUGACAGGGAAGG
rnacentral:ribozyme from 1 species